GAAUUUUCACUAAAAUGGAGCAAAAUACAAAUACAAAAGAGGAGAUGAAACUCACUCAACUCACAGCUCUCACUCUCCAAUUUCUGAUCUAUACAACCCCUCCUCACUCAUCUCAAUUUAUAACCAAGAGAGGAGGUGUAGGUGAAGUGAUAGCCAUAAUUGGCCAAGGUGGUGCCACCCUCACUAUCUUCCUUUAGUGAGUUGGUGUUGCCCUCCACCAGCUUCUUUUACCACAUGGUGCCACCCACACCAUGUGGAUGGUGGGCUCCUUACCAUGUGGGUAGUGGAUGGAGCCAACAAGAUCAUCUUCUAUUGAUUUUGAUUUUUUUUCUAUUUCUUUUUUCUCUAUUUAUUUGGAGUAGCAGAUUUAUCAUCAAUAAACUAAAACAUAAGUUGUGGCCAUGGUGCCUUUUUUUGGAUUAUCUGCACCAAUUUUCUGUCAUUCUGCAUGAUUUUAUUAUACUGUUCUGUUCAUUCCUUCUGAUAAGGAUGUUGACUUGCUUCCCAAUGAAUUUGUGCUAUUGCAGAUAUUUAAGGAAGAGGUAUUUGAUCUACUGGAUGAAAGCCCACCAGCUCUUUCCCGAGGAGAUGGGGUGUCUCUAGCAAAGCCUGCUGGUGGACCUGCAAGAGUUCCUAUCCAAAUCAGAGAAACUAAGAAUGGGGGGAUAACACUUGCUGGUGUGAUGGAGGCAGAGGUCAGGACAAAAGAACAGAUGGCUUCAUUUCUAUUGCGUGGUUCAUUAGCUUGUGCUACUGGGAGCACUAACAUGAAUAGCCAAUCAAGUGCAAAUUCAGUCCAAUCAACCGAGUUGGAUUUUUUUCAAAGAGGUCCCAAGGGUAGUAUCAGCCCUUGCUCAAAGAACCGAUACUUACUGAUAUGGCAUUAGCAAGGUUUGCAAGGACUGGCUUGAGACGGUCUGGAGGUGCCAUUGGUAAUUACACAAACGAGAGAGAUAUCAUCAGUGUCGACAAGCAAGUGUUCCUCACCUUCGGUUGAAAAUGUCACAGCAUGUGGCAAUCGUCUCGCCUUUCGAGCAUCAAAAAGACAAGUCACAUGAAUUUCUAGAGCAGGGGCAUAAGGGUAACCCCACAAUAUCAGUUUCCUCAGGCACACAAGGUUAUAGUGGAAUCUGAUUCAGAGUGUGAGACUAUGAAGUAUCCUACUUUAGCAGCUACAAGACUGGGUAAAAAGCCCGGGGUUGUCGUCCUAGGUACUGGAUGGGCAGCUUGUCAAUUCCUUAAAGGACUCGACACCAAAUUAUAUGAUGUUUGCAUAUCGCCAAGGAAUCAUAUGGUUUUCACUCCUUUGCUUGCUUCAACUUGUGUUGGAACUUUGGAGUUCUAGUCUGUAGCUGAGCCUGUUGGUCAGAUACAGUCUGCACUAGCAAAGGACCCGAAUUCCUACUUUUACUUGGCUUUCUUGCAAUGGUAUUGACACAGAUAAACAUGAAGUACAAAACGUCCUUCAACAAGCAUCCAGACUAGUGAAGAUUACAUAUUCUAUGCUAUAUAGCUGAGUUCAGUGAAUUUAGUAACAAGGACAAGACAUUAAAUUAAGUCAAAACUCAUGGGGUUUGUCUUGAUGUUUUUCCUAUUAUUUUUUGGCAAAUGUUAAAAUAUGAUUUGUGGAUAUGUUAUUUUGUAGUUAAUGGUGAUUGUAUAUUAAAUUGAAUGCGAAAGUAAAUUAAUGUUGUAUUUGCUACUUGACAACUUUUCAAAUAAUCGGCCUGUCUUUUGACAAAUGU